UCCGGCUUAUCACCGGCAGUCCCUUUAGAGUGCCCAACUGAAUGAUGGCAACUAAAGGCGAGGGUUGCGCUCGUUGCGGGACUUAACCCAACAUCUCACGACACGAGCUGACGACAGCCAUGCAGCACCUGUGAACCGGCCAUUGCUGGCGGCACCAUUUCUGGUAGCCUUCCGGUCCAUGUCAAGCCUAGGUAAGGUUCUGCGCGUUGCAUCGAAUUAAACCACAUGCUCCACCGCUUGUGCGGGCCCCCGUCAAUUUCUUUGAGUUUUAACCUUGCGGCCGUACUCCCCAGGCGGGAUACUUAACGCGUUAGCUUCGGCACUGAAGGGGUCAAUACCUCCAACACCAAGUAUCCAUCGUUUACGGCGUGGACUAC
rnacentral:misc_RNA from 1 species